AGAACGAACGCUGGCGGCAGGCUUAACACAUGCAAGUCGAGCGCCCCGCAAGGGGAGCGGCAGACGGGUGAGUAACGCGUGGGAACGUACCUUUUGCUACGGAAUAACUCAGGGAAACUUGUGCUAAUACCGUAUGUGCCCUUCGGGGGAAAGAUUUAUCGGCAAAGGAUCGGCCCGCGUUGGAUUAGCUAGUUGGUGAGGUAAAGGCUCACCAAGGCGACGAUCCAUAGCUGGUCUGAGAGGAUGAUCAGCCACACUGGGACUGAGACACGGCCCAGACUCCUACGGGAGGCAGCAGUGGGGAAUAUUGGACAAUGGGCGCAAGCCUGAUCCAGCCAUGCCGCGUGAGUGAUGAAGGCCCUAGGGUUGUAAAGCUCUUUCACCGGUGAAGAUAAUGACGGUAACCGGAGAAGAAGCCCCGGCUAACUUCGUGCCAGCAGCCGCGGU
rnacentral:rRNA from 1 species